UACGGGGGGGGCGAGCGUUGUUCGGAAUUACUGGGCGUAAAGGGUUUGUAGGUGGCCUGCUAAGUCAGACGUGAAAUCCCUCAGCUUAACCGGGGAACUGCGUCUGAUACUGGAUGGCUUGAGUUCGGGAGAGGGAUGCGGAAUUCCAGGUGUAGCGGUGAAAUGCGUAGAUAUCUGGAGGAACACCGGUGGCGAAGGCGGCAUCCUGGACCGACACUGACGCUGAAGAGCGAAAGCCAGGGGAGCAAACGGG
rnacentral:rRNA from 1 species